rnacentral:rRNA from 1 species
GAUGAGCCAGAAUUGGCACCUUGUCUAUAAUAAGGUGCAAAAUGAUUUUAACUGAAGAGUUUGAUCAUGGCUCAGAUUGAACGCUGGCGGCAGGCUUAACACAUGCAAGUCGAGCGGGGGAAGGUAGCUUGCUACCGGACCUAGCGGCGGACGGGUGAGUAAUGCUUAGGAAUCUGCCUAUUAGUGGGGGACAACAUCUCGAAAGGGAUGCUAAUACCGCAUACGUCCUACGGGAGAAAGCAGGGGAUCUUCGGACCUUGCGC